rnacentral:rRNA from 1 species
CCUACGGGAGGCAGCAGUAGGGAAUCUUGCGCAAUGGGCGAAAGCCUGACGCAGCCAUGCCGCGUGAAUGAUGAAGGUCUUAGGAUUGUAAAAUUCUUUCACCGGGGAAGAUAAUGACGGUAUCCGGAGAAGAAGCCCCGGCUAACUUCGUGCCAGCAGCCGCGGUAAU